rnacentral:rRNA from 1 species
GACGAACGCUGGCGGCGUGCUUAACACAUGCAAGUCGAACGGGCCGGCCCUGCUUUUGUGGGGUGCUCGGGUGGCGAACGGGUGAGUAACACAUGAGUAACCUACCCUUGACUUUGGGAUAGCUUCCGGCAACUGAGGCUAGUACAGGAUAGGAGCUCCUGCUUCCUGGUAGGGGUUGGAUAGUUUCGGCGGUUGGGGAUGGACUCGCUGCUUAUGAGCUUGUUGGUGGGUUAGUGGCUUACCAAGGCUUUGAGGGGGAGCGGGCAUGAGAGGGUGACCGGACACAUUGGGAUUGAGAGACGGCCAAGACUCCUACGGGAGGCAGCAGGGGGGAAUAUUGCACAAUGGGCGGAAGCCUGAUGCAGCAACGCCGCGUGCGGGAGGACGGCCUUCGGGUGGGAAACAGCUUUUGCCUGUGAUGAAGCGUGAGUGACGGUAAGGGGUAAAGAAGCACCGGCUAACUACGUG